rnacentral:rRNA from 1 species
UACGUAGGGUGCGAGCGUUAAUCGGAAUUACUGGGCGUAAAGCGUGCGCAGGCGGUUUUGUAAGCCAGAUGUGAGAGCCCCGGGCUCAACCUGGGAAUGGCAUUUGGGACUGCAAGGCUGGAGUUUGGCAGAGGAGACUGGAAUUCCUGGUGUAGCAGUGAAAUGCGUAGAUAUCAGGAGGAAUACCGAUGGCGAAGGCAGGUCUCUGGGCUAUAACUGACGCUCAUGCACGAAAGCGUGGGGAGCAAACAGG